rnacentral:tRNA from 1 species
GGGCGCUUGGUCUAGGGGUAUGAUUUUCGCUUCGCAUCGAUUGAUGAUACUGUGAAAGGUCGUGGGUUCAAUUCCCACAGCGUCCA